rnacentral:rRNA from 1 species
CCUACGGGAGGCAGCAGUGAGGAAUAUUGGUCAAUGGGCGCGAGCCUGAACCAGCCAAGUCGCGUGAGGGAGGACGGCCCUACGGGUUGUAAACCUCUUUUGCCGGGGAGCAACGGGCGUCACGUGUGGCGCCACUGAGAGUACCCGGAGAAAAAGCAUCGGCUAACUCCGUGCCAGCAGCCGCGGUAAUACGGAGGAUGCGAGCGUUGUCCGGAUUUAUUGGGUUUAAAGGGUGCGUAGGCGGAUCGUUAAGUCAGUGGUCAAAUUGAGGGGCUCAACCCCUUCCCGCCAUUGAAACUGGCGAUCUUGAGUGGAAGAGAAGUAUGCGGAAUGCGUGGUGUAGCGGUGAAAUGCAUAGAUAUCACGCAGAACCCCGAUUGCGAAGGCAGCAUGCCGGCUUCCGACUGACGCCGAAGCACGAAAGCGUGGGGAUCGAACAGGAUUAGAUACCCGUGUAGUC